UGGGGAAUUUUGGACAAUGGGGGAAACCCUGAUCCAGCCAUCCCGCGUGUGCGAUGAAGGCCUUUGGGUUGUAAAGCACUUUUGGCAGGAAAGAAACGUCAUGGGUUAAUACCCCGUGAAACUGACGGUACCUGCAGAAUAAGCACCGGCUAACUACGUGCCAGCAGCCGCGGUAAUACGUAGGGUGCAAGCGUUAAUCGGAAUUACUGGGCGUAAAGCGUGCGCAGGCGGUUCGGAAAGAAAGAUGUGAAAUCCCAGAGCUCAACUUUGGAACUGCAUUUUUAACUACCGGGCUAGAGUGUGUCAGAGGGAGGUGGAAUUCCGCGUGUAGCAGUGAAAUGCGUAGAUAUGCGGGGGAACACCGAUGGCGAAGGCAGCCUCCUGGGAUAACACUGACGCUCAUGCACGAAAGCGUGGGGGGCAAACAGG
rnacentral:rRNA from 1 species